GAUGAACGCUAGCGGCAGGCCUAAUACAUGCAAGUCGGACGGGAUUCAGGAGCUUGCUUCUGAUGAGAGUGGCGCACGGGUGCGUAACACGUAUGUAACCUACCUUUAUCAGGGGGAUAGCCUCUCGAAAGAGAGAUUAAGCCCGCAUAAAAUCACCGCACAGCAUUGUGUAAUGAUCAAAUAUUUAUCGGAUAAAGAUGGGCAUGCGGAACAUUAGCUAGAUGGCGGGGUAACGGCCCACCAUGGCGACGAUGUUUAGGGGAUCUGAGAGGAUGGCCCCCCACACUGGUACUGCGACACGGACCAGAAUGCGACGGGAGGCAGCAGAAAGGAAUAUUGAUCGAUGGGCGGAAGCCUGAACCAGCCAUGCCGCGUGCAGGAAGACGGCCGUACGGGUGGUAAACUGCUUGGAUACGGGAAUAGACCCAGAUACCUGUAUCUGUCUGAAUGUACUGUAAGAAUAAGGAUCGGCUAACUCCGUG
rnacentral:rRNA from 1 species